ACUCAAAGGAAUUGACGGGGGCUCACACAAGCGGUGGAGCAUGUGGUUCAAUUCGAAGCAACGCGAAGAACCUUACCCGGGUUUGAAAUCCACGGAUGGGUCCGAUGAAAGUUGGAUACCCUGCCCGCAAGGGUGAAACGUGGACAGGUGUUGCAUGGCUGUCGUCAGCUCGUGUCGUGAGAUGUCGGGUUAAGUCCCUCAACGAGCGAAACCCUUGUCUCUAGUUGCCAACGGUUCGGCCGGGGACUCUAGAGAGACUGCCGUUGUGAAAACGGAGGAAGGUGGGGAUGACGUCAAGUCAUCAUGGCCUUUAUGUCCGGGGCUACACACGUGCUACAAUGGGCGGCACAAAGGGAUGCAAAGUCGCGAGACCAAGCAAAACUCAGAAAACCGUCCCCAGUUCAGAUUGGAGGCUGCAACCCGCCUCCAUGAAGAUGGAAUCGCUAGUAAUCGCGGAUCAGCUACGCCGCGGUGAAUAUGUUCCUGGGCCUUGUACACACCGCCCGU
rnacentral:rRNA from 1 species